AUCGAACGCUGGCGGCAGGCCUAACACAUGCAAGUCGAACGAGUGGCGGACGGGUGAGUAAUGUCUGGGAAACUGCCUGAUGGAGGGGGAUAACUACUGGAAACGGUAGCUAAUACCGCAUACCAUCAGAUGUGGCCAGAUGGGACUAGCUUGUUGGUGGGGUAACGGUUCACCAAGGCGACGAUCCCUAGCUGGUCUGGGAGGAUGACGAGCCACACUGGAACUGAUACACGGUCCAGACGCCUACGAGAGGCAGCGGGGGGAGAUAUGGCAGAAUGGGCGCAAGCCUGAUGAAGCCAUGCCGGGUGUAUGAAGAAGGCCUUCGGGUUGUAAAGUACUUUCAGCGGGGAGGGGUUACCCGCAGAAGAAGCACCGGCUAACUCCGUGCCAGCAGCCGCGGUAAUUC
rnacentral:rRNA from 1 species